rnacentral:rRNA from 1 species
CCUACGGGAGGCAGCAGUGGGGAAUUUUUGGCAAUGGGGGAAACCCUGACCAAGCAACGCCGCGUGGGUGAUGAAGUCUCUUGGGACGUAAAACCCUUUCGACGGGGAAGCGGUACCCGUAGAAGAAGCCCCGGCUAACUCCGUGCCAGCAGCCGCGGUAAUACGGGGGGGGCAAGCGUUGUUCGGAAUUACUGGGCGUAAAGGGCGCGUAGGCGGUUUGCUAAGUUGAAUGUGAAAACUCUGGGCUUAACCCAGAGCCUGCAUUCAAUACUGGUAGGCUAGAGUUCUGGAGGGGAUAGCGGAAUUCCUGGUGUAGCGGUGAAAUGCGUAGAUAUCAGGAGGAACACCGGUGGCGAAGGCGGCUAUCUGGACAGAUCUGACGCUGAGGCGCGAAAGCUAGGGGAGCAAACAGGAUUAGAUACCCUUGUAGUC